rnacentral:rRNA from 1 species
GGGUCAGUAGGUUGGUCGUGCCACCGGUACGUACUGGUCUCACUGAUUCCUCCUUCCUGAAGAACCGUAAUGCCAUUAAGUUGGUGUUGCGGGGAAACAGGACUGUUACUUUGAAAAAAUUAGAGUGUUUAAAGCAGGCUAACGCUUGAAUACAUUAGCAUGGAAUAAUGAAAUAGGACGAUCGAUCCUAUUUUGUUGGUUUCUAGGAUUGACGUA